UGCUACAGCAUUUAUAUGAUGAGUGGCAUUAGAGAAAAUGAAAGGUGUGAAAUUGAAUGCUAGGAGAGCUGAGCUGGGCUGCAGCAUGACUGGGCACCCAUCACUGUGUUCCUUUGAAGAAAGAAUCUGGCAAGCAGCAUUUUGUGGGUUCAUGCCUUAAAUAUGCACAUGAAGAAGGGGACAGAAGGGGAAGGAGAAGCCACCUCAAGCCAUCAGGAAGGGGCCACAUAACAGCAACAAAAUGAGCCAGCUCUUCUGUGAAA
rnacentral:lncRNA from 1 species